rnacentral:rRNA from 1 species
GUGGGGAAUAUUGGACAAUGGGCGCAAGCCUGAUCCAGCCAUGCCGCGUGAGUGAUGAAGGCCUUAGGGUUGUAAAGCUCUUUCACCGGUGAAGAUAAUGACGGUAACCGGAGAAGAAGCCCCGGCUAACUUCGUGUCAGCAGCCGCGGUAAUACGAAGGGGGCUAGCGUUGUUCGGAAUUACUGGGCGUAAAGCGCACGUAGGCUGAUAUUUAAGUCAGGGGUGAAAUCCCGGGGCUCAACCCCGGAACUGCCUUUGAUACUGGGUAUCUUGAGUAUGGAAGAGGUCAGUGGAAUUGCGAGUGUAGAGGUGAAAUUCGUAGAUAUUCGCAGGAACACCAGUGGCGAAGGCGGCUGACUGGUCCAUUACUGACGCUGAGGUGCGAAAGCGUGGGGAGCAAACAGGAUUAGAAACCCGUGUAGUCC